CUGCAUGGCUGUCGUCAGCUCGUGUCGUGAGAUGUUGGGUUAAGUCCCGCAACGAGCGCAACCCUUGUCUCUAGUUGCUACGAAAGGGCACUCUAGAGAGACUGCCGGUGACAAACCGGAGGAAGGUGGGGAUGACGUCAAGUCCUCAUGGCCCUUAUGGGUAGGGCUUCGCACGUCAUACAAUGGUGCAUACAGAGGGUUGCCAAGCCGCGAGGUGGAGCUAAUCCCAGAAAAUGCAUCGUAGUCCGGAUCGUAGUCUGCAACUCGACUACGUGAAGCUGGAAUCGCUAGUAAUCGCGGAUCAGCAUGCCGCGGUGAAUACGUU
rnacentral:rRNA from 1 species